rnacentral:rRNA from 1 species
GACGAACGCUGGCGGCGUGCUUAACACAUGCAAGUCGAACGGAAAGGCCCUGCUUUUGUGGGGUGCUCGAGUGGCGAACGGGUGAGUAACACGUGAGUAACCUGCCCUUGACUUUGGGAUAACUUCAGGAAACUGGGGCUAAUACCGGAUAGGAGCUCCUGCUGCAUGGUGGGGGUUGGAAAGUUUCGGCGGUUGGGGAUGGACUCGCGGCUUAUCAGCUUGUUGGUGGGGUAGUGGCUUACCAAGGCUUUGACGGAUAGCCGGCCUGAGAGGGUGACCGGCCACAUUGGGACUGAGAGACGGACCAGACUCCUACGGGAGGCAGCAGUGGGGAAUAUUGCACAAUGGGCGGAAGCCUGAUGCAGCAACGCUGCGUGCGGGAUGACGGCCUUCGGGUUGUAAACCGCUUUCGCCUGUGACGAAGCGUGAGUGACGGUAAUGGGUAAAGAAGCACCGGCUAACUACGUG